UUCUCCUUUAGGUGAAGUCAAAGAGCGCUUUACAUGAAAGCAAAGAACAUAACAUUUUCAAACACAUCAAACUAUGCCAAAUGAGGUGCAAUCUGCUCUACAUAUUUCAAAUGGAAAAUGGUAAGCAGCUUUCAGAGACCAUCAUGUUAUGAUUGGCAAGAGGACAGGCAUCAAAUGGAAAAAGAAAGCAAGUAUUUUCAACAAAGAAGAUUGACAGUACAGUGAAAGUGGGAAAUUGCCUUUAUAUUUAAUUUGAAAUAAAUAAUCAUG
rnacentral:lncRNA from 10 species